rnacentral:rRNA from 1 species
GACGAACGCUGGCGGCGUGCCUAAUACAUGCAAGUAGAACGCUGAAGAGAGGAGCUUGCUCUUCUUGGAUGAGUUGCGAACGGGUGAGUAACGCGUAGGUAACCUGCCUUGUAGCGGGGGAUAACUAUUGGAAACGAUAGCUAAUACCGCAUAACAAUUGAUGACACAUGUCUUUUAUUUGAAAGGGGCAAUUGCUCCACUACAAGAUGGACCUGCGUUGUAUUAGCUAGUAGGUGAGGUAAUGGCUCACCUAGGCGACGAUACAGAGCCGACCUGAGAGGGGGAACGGGCAACCUGGGAAUGGGACACGGCCCAGACUCCUAAGGGAGGCAGGAGGAGGGGAUCUUCGGGAAUGGGGGCAACGCUGACCGGGGAACGCCGCGGGAGUGGAGAAGGGUUUCGGAUCGUAAAGAUCUGUUGUAAGUCAAGAACGGGUGUGAGAGUGGAAAGUUCACACUGUGACGGUAGCUUACCAGAAAGGGACGGCUAACUACGUG